rnacentral:rRNA from 1 species
UACAGAGGGUGCAAGCGUUGUUCGGAAUUAUUGGGCGUAAAGCGCGUGUAGGCGGCUUUGCAAGUCGGUUGUGAAAGCCCCCAGCUUAACUGAGGAAGUGCGCCCGAAACUGCUUGGCUUGAGUACCGGAGAGGAUGGCGGAAUUCCCCAAGUAGAGGUGAAAUUCGUAGAUAUGGGGAGGAACACCGGUGGCGAAGGCGGCCAUCUGGACGGAUACUGACGCUGAGACGCGAAAGCGUGGGUAGCAAACAGG